rnacentral:rRNA from 1 species
ACGUAGGGGGCAAGCGUUAUCCGGAUUUACUGGGUGUAAAGGGAGCGUAGACGGCACGGCAAGCCAGAUGUGAAAGCCCGGGGCUCAACCCCGGGACUGCAUUUGGAACUGCUGAGCUAGAGUGUCGGAGAGGCAAGUGGAAUUCCUAGUGUAGCGGUGAAAUGCGUAGAUAUUAGGAGGAACACCAGUGGCGAAGGCGGCUUGCUAGACGAUGACUGACGUUGAGGCUCGAAAGCGUGGGGAGCAAACAG